AAAUAUAAAACAGGUAGUUAAGCAGAAAAUAGAUCCAUUAAGCCAAAAAAUAAUGAAAUUAAACAAAAUACGAAACAACAUGAAUCAAAAGGAUUUUCAUCAAAUUUAUCAACACUAAAGCUUUCUUUUUUUUUAUUUUUGGGUUUUGAUACAACUCCAAUCCCACGAUCAAGCAAGCAUUGAAUCGAAUUCAAAAACAACUUGUUGCUGAGAUUUGGAAUAUCAGAGGAGAUUCAAAAAGGCACGCCCCUGGAGAAAAUAUAAUGCAGAUACCUUCAAAGGCACAAUUGGAAUGUAGAAACCCUAAUUUGUUUUCCUCCUCUCUCUGUCUCCUCCAACUGAGAAAGCAAGUGAUGGAAUUAUAGAGAAAAUUUUGGUUCCAACUCCUGAUGCGAAUGUUCUUCCUUUGAUCUUUA
rnacentral:misc_RNA from 1 species